GCCUCGGCCGGCUGAUUAAUUAAUUUCCGCGGGCUAAUGAUGUCAGUCGAGUUUCUGCAAACAAACCACGAGUGCGUGCGUACCCAGCCACACACCGACCCACGCGAGAAAGGAACGCGCGCCUCCACCGAGGCGUAUUCCGAUAGAUUCUGCCAUCGAUUCUCAUUAACAUAAACAGAGUGUUUAUCAAUAGCCGCGUUGUGCAAUUUAAUGAAACUGAAAUGCCGUAUCUCCGAGCGGAACCGUUAAUACGGUGUUUUUCCUCGAUUUUCCGCAAAGCGGAGGUUGGCUAAUGGAGGAGAAGGAAGCGAACCUGAUCGAUCCCUCCGUAGAUGGUUCUAGAAACGAUUUAGGAGUUACUACUGGGACAAUUUUUCGACAACUGACCACGACAAGGUGGACAAGGAAGCGGGUGGCCCAAUGAAAAAUGUAGCG